AUCUAGCUGACGAGUCCCAAUAAAGACGAAAUGUGCAUCCUGGAU
rnacentral:hammerhead_ribozyme from 1 species